AGAGAGAAAAAGACAAGGACCGGGAUUAAAACGACACAAAAUCAGGUUCAUGGGAUAAGAGAACAAAAUAAAAAGGGAAAUUCUAUACAGUAGCCCUAAAUUUAUUUAAAUUACAUAUGAUAGCCAAAUUUAAGUUGGAUUACAUAUGGUCAGCCAUCAAAUAGAGUGUGCUUAGUUUAGGUGUCCUUAAUAGAUGCUUUUCAACAGGACUUAAAAUAGGAUUAGAUAAAGUUAAAAAGUUCUUGUUUAAGAAAAAAGAAAAACAGUUAGAAGCUCAUUGAAAACAUUACGUUAGUUUCCUUUGCCCUUCAUUUCACUUCAGACCUUUCAUCUCCUCCAUCUUUCUUCUUCCACUUUCUGCUCAUAUGUGUAAUCAAUCUCUUCAUUCAUUAUAUUGUGAUUCUGGUUCUACCAAAAUUGCAUCAUUGUCCUUAUUAAGUAAAGUUGCUGCUAAUUAGGUAUAAGAAGAGUUAUAAUGGCGAGGCUUGCCAUUAGAAGGCAAGUUUGUGAGGGGUGCGAAAUGGAUGACUUAUCCCCUAACAUCGUAAAGAGAGUGCAAAAACUAUGCCAAUAUUCGAGGUCAUGCAAAGCUUAUUUCUCUCUAGACAAGGUAGGUUUGAAGUGCAAGACCACGUCUGCAUGUGAGCUUAAGAAACAUGACUUGUGCUUGUAGUUUGUGGCAAAUAAGUGGAAUACCACGUAAGCAUGGUAUGAGAGCCAUCUUACAUGCCAAAGAAGAUCCACACAAGUAUGUGAGCAAUUGGUACGAUGUAGAGGUUUAUAAGAGAGCUUAAUCCCACAACAUCAAGUCAAUACCAGACCAAGAACAAUGGCCUGCCUAAAAUAACACUACCAAAGAUUGCUCCACCUGUGAUGAAGAAAGGGGAAAGAAGAACUUGUAAGAAUAGGGGGCAAGAAGACCUUGUAAGAAUAGGAAAAGAGCUGAAGAUGAGUAACCAAAAGGAAAAAGGUCAAAGACACUUAAAUUGCAGCAAUUGUCAAACAAAUGGGUCAUAAUGUUCUAACAUGCAAGGGUGGUCCAACAGCAAAGCAGAAGAACCAGAAGAACCAGAAGAACAAGGCUAAAGCUUCCUCCUCACCACCUGUUACUAAUGCCACAGUUCAAGAAGUGCGAGAAAGGAGAAGUGCACGACUGAAAAGGAGAAGUGCACGAUUGUUUUCAUCACAACCUGCUGGACAUUUGUGACUUAGUCAAUCCCAAGAACAUUACAUAAUAGCUGUGGUUUUUGUUGAUGCAUUUUGGAUCAAAAGUCUCCUAUAACUGCUAGUAGAUAAAUGGAUGGUACUUCUUUAUGAAACAUUUUCGUAUAGGUUACCUUUUGGAAUAUUUUAAUUUACUUAUGUAGUUUUUGUGCAGAGAAAACAUUUUGUAAUAUUGAGAUUGUGAGAUGUAAUAUAGUCUAGAAAUUGUCUUC